rnacentral:rRNA from 1 species
GAUGAACGCUGGCGGCGUGCCUAAUACAUGCAAGUCGAGCGAACGGACGAGAAGCUUGCUUCUCUGAUGUUAGCGGCGGACGGGUGAGUAACACGUGGAUAACCUACCUAUAAGACUGGGAUAACUUCGGGAAACCGGAGCUAAUACCGGAUAAUAUUUUGAACCGCAUGGUUCAAAAGUGAAAGACGGUCUUGCUGUCACUUAUAGAUGGAUCCGCGCUGCAUUAGCUAGUUGGUAAGGUAACGGCUUACCAAGGCAACGAUGCAUAGCCGACCUGAGAGGGUGAUCGGCCACACUGGAACUGAGACGCGGUCCAGACUCCUACGGGAGGCAGCAGUAGGGAAUCUUCCGCAAUGGGCGGAAGCCUGACGGAGCAACGCCGCGUGAGUGAUGAAGGUCUUCGGAUCGUAAAACUCUGUUAUUAGGGAAGAACAUAUGUGUAAGUAACUGUGCACAUCUUGACGGUACCUAAUCAGAAAGCCACGGCUAACUACGUG